rnacentral:rRNA from 1 species
UCGCCUGUUAACAAAAACAUAGUUUUAUGAUUUGUUUAUAUAAAGUUUUGCCUGCCCAAUGAUAUAAUUUAAAUGGCCGCAGUACUUUGACUGUGCUAAGGUAGCAUAAUAAAUUGACUUUUAAUUAAGGUCUAGAAUGAAAGGAUAAAUGAAUAUAUACUGUCUUUAAUAAAUUUAUAUUAAUUUUCUUAAAAGGUGAAAAUUCCUUUAUUUAUAUUAGAAAGACGAGAAGACCCUAGGAGUUUGAAAUUAUUUUUGUUGGGGCAACACUAUAACAGAUAAUUUAUAGUAUGUGUAAUGGAAUUAAACGAAAUAUUUUAAUUAUAAAUAAACUACCCUAGGGAUAACAGCAUAAUUUAUUGUUUAAUAAGUUUGUGACCUCGAUGUUGGACUAGGGACUUUAAAUAUUAAUUAUAUUUAUUGGAUUGUUCUGUUCGAACAUUUUAUACCACGUGAUCUGAGUUCAGACCGGA